AGUCGAACGGUAACAGGAAGCAGCUUGCUGCUUCGCUGACGAGUGGCGGACGGGUGAGUAAUGUCUGGGAAACUGCCUGAUGGAGGGGGAUAACUACUGGAAACGGUAGCUAAUACCGCAUAACGUCGCAAGACCAAAGAGGGGGACCUUCGGGCCUCUUGCCAUCGGAUGUGCCCAGAUGGGAUUAGCUAGUAGGUGGGGUAACGGCUCACCUAGGCGACGAUCCCUAGCUGGUCUGAGAGGAUGACCAGCCACACUGGAACUGAGACACGGUCCAGACUCCUACGGGAGGCAGCAGUAGGGAAUAUUGCACAACGGGCGCAAGCCUGAUGCAGCCAUGCCGCGUGUAUGAAGAAGGCCUUCGGGUUGUAAAGUACUUUCAGCGGGGAGGAAGGCGAUAAGGUUAAUAACCUUGUCGAUUGACGUUACCCGCAGAAGAAGCACCGGCUAACUCCGUGGCAGCAGCCGCGGUGAAUACGGAGGGUGCAAGCGUUUAUC
rnacentral:rRNA from 1 species